CCCCGAGGGACACGGAGCACACGGGGCUCUGUCAGGAGAGAGCCCCGAGGGACACGGAGCACACGGCAGAGCUGAAUGCCAGAGGCUGAGUCCCAACCCCUGGGUCCAAGGCUUGAUCCAGAAUGAUGAAUACAUAUGCAGCACAGCUGACCGUCUGCUACUAUUUUGCUUUCAUAUCUCCAAACUUCAUCCAUUCUUCCCAUGCUCU